GGUCUGUGACGAAUAGCAAAAGCUCUCAUUGUCUUGAGACUUGCACUUCCAUUACCUUUUCUCCCAGCAGUUUCUCACCAGAAUACAGUCACACCACAAUACUGGUGUGACUGGCAGCAUGUUUGCUGACAGCUCAUGGUAUGCUCGGUUCUUGUUAACCUAAAGUAUUGCAGAUAGGAUUGUGAUCAGCAUCCAACAGACCUACUUGAAGGAGUUUGGGGUCUUGGAUUGUUACAUCUGGACAUAGGAUCUGUCUCUUCUGCCAGGGCU
rnacentral:snoRNA from 1 species